GGAAGGUAGAAUACACUGGACUGGUCGCCUGUGACUUGCAAGGCACCUACAGACAAACAUCCACGCAGGCACGAGGAGAAGAUGCUAACUCCACACAGUUGGACUCGGCCGGGAUUGUAACCCCUGUCCUCAGAACUGCGAGGCCAAUGCUCUAACCACCACUCCACCUCCAUGACACGGAGAUUUUCAGCCCGGUGACAUUGUGACAACAGCACCAGAAUUGCGGUGCACCGGAGCCAAUCCCAUUUUACUGCAGAUGAAAGGUGGGCUACACCCUGAACUGGUUGCCAAUCAGUUGCAGUGCGCACAUAUGAACACCAUUACUGAGUGGGAACCGAACUCACGCUGCCUGCACUAAAAUUAGAGAGGCGGCACUGUGGCAUGACUGGUUAGAGCGUUAGCCUCACAGUUCUGAGGACCGGGCUUCAACUUCUGGCCACGCCUGUGUGGAAUUUGUAUGUUUUCCCCAUGCCUGUGUGGGUUUUCUCCAGUUAAGCCCGAAGAUGGUUGGGAUAGGUUCCAGCACUCCUGCGACCUUUGUGAGGAUAAGCGACUCAGAAAAUGGAUGAUGGACAGAUGCUUUUAGAGACCAAGG